rnacentral:rRNA from 1 species
GAUGAACGCUGGCGGCGUGCCUAAUACAUGCAAGUCGAGCGAACAGACGAGGAGCUUGCUCCUCUGACGUUAGCGGCGGACGGGUGAGUAACACGUGGAUAACCUACCUAUAAGACUGGGAUAACUUCGGGACACCGGAGCUAAUACCGGAUAAUAUAUUGAACCGCAUGGUUCAAUAGUGAAAGACGGUUUUGCUGUCACUUAUAGAUGGAUCCGCGCCGCAUUAGCUAGUUGGUAAGGUAACGGCUUACCAAGGCGACGAUGCGUAGCCGACCUGAGAGAGUGAUCGGACACACUGGAACUGAGACACGGUCCAGACUCCUACGGGAGGCAGCAGUAGGGAAUCUUCCGAAAUGGGCGAAAGCAUGACGGAGCAACGCCGCGUGAGUGAUGAAGGUAUUCGGAUCGUAAAACUCUGUUAUUAGGGAAGAACAAAUGUGUAAGUAACUAUGCACGUCUUGACGGUACCUAAUCAGAAAGCAACGGCUAACUACGUG